rnacentral:rRNA from 1 species
UACGGGGGGGGCAAGCGUUGUUCGGAAUUACUGGGCGUAAAGGGCUCGUAGGCGGCCAACUAAGUCAGACGUGAAAUCCCUCGGCUUAACCGGGGAACUGCGUCUGAUACUGGAUGGCUAGAGUUUGGGAGAGGGAUGCGGAAUUCCAGGUGUAGCGGUGAAAUGCGUAGAUAUCUGGAGGAACACCGGUGGCGAAGGCGGCCCACUGGCUCGACACUGACGCUGAGGUGCGAAAGCGUGGGGAGCAAACAGG